UCCGGAGGGCGCAAUCGUUGUUCGGAAUCACUGGGCGUAAAGCGCGUGUAGGCGGUUCGGCAAGUCGGCUGUGAAAGCCCGAGGCUCAACCUCGGAACUGCAGGCGAAACUGCCGGGCUCGAGUCCCGGAGAGGGUGGCGGAAUUUCCGGUGUAGAGGUGAAAUUCGUAGAUAUCGGAAGGAACACCAGAGGCGAAGGCGGCCACCUGGACGGUGACUGACGCUGAGACGCGAAAGCGUGGGGAGCAAACAGG
rnacentral:rRNA from 1 species